rnacentral:lncRNA from 1 species
ACGGUAAAAACUAUCGUCGUCGUCGUUAAAAACCACCGUUAUCACAUCGUGAUCAUCAUCGUCGACGUGAUCGUGCACAUCAUCACCACCGCUAUGGACUACUCCAUCCAAUAGACAACCUGGUGCGCACGCGCGCGCAUCAUCUCAACGGAAACCACGCAAGUAAAUCCCCACCCACGCGGCGCCGGGUGACUGCCACGCGCUCGUCGGAGACCAGGGGAGUGCGGCACAGGGGACAGGUGAAAUGGAGAUGAUCGAGCCAACCGUCAAAGCAAUCUUUAUGGAACACGUGGCGGCAAUCGAGCAUGCGCACGCGGUCCCCGUCCC